CCUUGUUGGAGUGACGGGCGAUUUGUACACAAAAUCUUUAUAAUUAAAUCUUAGAUAUUAUCUUAAUAAUUUACUCUUAAGUUCUACUUAACUUUAAAUUUUAUAGAAUUGUUUUACAUUAGUGGAUCACAAUAUCUCUAAAAUAUACCCCCACCUUUAUUUGUAUUUUAUAAAAAAUUAUUACUACUGCCCUAAAUUUAAAGGAUGUUUUACAAUGGUAUGAGAGGGUAAAUUUAGAAUAGUUGAACGUGGGUUAUCGAAUUAAGUUUCAUGAACACCUAAUUAUGAAUUUUGCCGCCAUUAUAUAAUAGGUUUCUUUUAUUUAAAUACUUUCUAUUUUUAUCUUAGAA
rnacentral:rRNA from 1 species